rnacentral:sRNA from 1 species
GCCAGGCGUGGUGGUGCACACUUGUAAUCCCAGCAGCUUGGGAGGCUGAGGCAAGAGGAUCGCAAGUUCAAAGUUAGUCUCAACAAUGGCCAGGCACUAAGCAACUCAGUGAGACCCUGUCCCUA